UAUUUUUUUAAAUAAGUUUUUCCUGAUUUUCAGUCUUUUUUCCCACUUGUGAUCGACAUGAACCCAGGUGGUAAUAAUUGAGAAUUGCUGCCUUGAUACAUUAGUUCAUAACAUGCUUAUAUUGAUUUGCCAGCCAAGAAAUAACAUUUAUAUGAUAAUAGACUAGCUUCCUUUAUUUAAAGCUUAUAAACAUGUGAAAAAAUCUCUAAUUUAGUGACAUACAAAAAGUAUUUCUUUUUUUUAUAUCUUUAUUUUUAUAUAUGUAGUGCUGAGGAUCGAACCAGUGCCUCACAUGUUCAAGGCAAGCACUUACCACUAAGCCACAACCCCAGUCCAACAAAAAGUAUUUCUAAAAAGAGAAAUUGGUAGCAUAAGAAGCCCUCAUAUAGGCAUUUAUUCAAAACCAAAUUAUGGAACCAUAGGCAUAUUUUUUAUCUUCAUGAUUAUUUUAUUAAUCUCUCUGCUGGACUUUAAAAUAUUUUAUUUUUGAUUAGCAUGUGUUAAUUAUACAUAUUAAUUUGGUUCAGCAUGAUAUUGCAACACAUGUAUACAUCAUGUAUGAAUCAAAUCCAGCCUCCCUCUAUCCACUCUCCUCCUGAUCAUAGGCAUUUAAUAUAUUCUAAAUGUAGUGAUUUACAUUGUUGGCAUUACAUCACAUUCUAAUUAAAUUAUGCUUUUCCAUAAUUGUCCUUUUCUCUGCAAUAUCACUGCUCUACUUCCUUAUUGUAUUUUAGAAUGUAUGAUAUAUGUUCAUAAGGAAGGGUUAAUGAAAAUAAGUAAUCUCUCUUAAUUGGAACCUUUAUUUGUAGGCUGGAGAUAAUGAGUAAUCAAUGUUUAUGUCUUUCUGAUUUUUAAAAUUUAAACAUGAAUGCAUAGUGUCAUCUUCUUAUAACAAUGUUCCAUUUUCUGAUGAUUACAACUUGUUUACUUCAAUGAUAACUGAUUAGCAGUAGUUAUUGUUUUGAUUGUGCAAAAUUUAAAGAAAACAUUUGUGAAAAUAAUAAAGGGCUGAGCAAUAAAUAGCUGGAUUAGAUAUUGUGUCCCUAGAAAAGUCUAACAUUAAAAUUGAAGAAAAGAUUGGUUAAUUUUUUUCCUACACUAAUAAGUGUAAACCAAAAAGAAAAAAAAAAUUAACACCAAAAUUCCAUAAGAUUCACUUUACCAUCAGCAGUGAAACAUAUUUUCAAAUAUGUAGUUUUGAAAGUGUAUGUUUUAAGGAGUGGAUGAUCAAAAGACAUUCACCAUUUGUUAGCUAACUUGCUUUAAGGUGCCUAGAGAUUUGUGUAAUUUCUGAAUGGAUGGGGAUUAUUCUAACUUACUAAAGAUUGUGAAAUUGUAUUUACAUGGAACAUUUGAA
rnacentral:lncRNA from 1 species